ACGUGAGAGCAGUCUGGCUGUGUCACUUCACUGACUGCCAGGGUUGAUUUGCCUGAUCCAGCUGGCUAGGCAGAUGUCCCCAUCCUUACCGCUCCAUGUCCGUGUCCUCCCAUGGCUUUCCCCAUAGAAGAGGCUCAUUCUUUGGUGUCAGGUCUAGGAGUUACUGUAGCUGUGCUUUCCUGCUGGGACCUCCAGUCACGCUCUCCUGGGCCUGUCUUAUUGUGACAUGUUAUGGAGCGCCACAGCUUAGAUAUUUCAGAGGACCCUGUUGCUCUUGGCACUGUGUCCUCACUG
rnacentral:snRNA from 1 species